rnacentral:misc_RNA from 1 species
UUUCUUUCAUGUUCCUCUCAUUACGUUAUCUUCUCCAUAAGAGCCCAGCCCUACCUUCUUCCCCCAUCGCAAUCCUCUCCCCAUCUAAUAGCUCAAAAGCUGUCCUAACCCUAAUUUUCUCUUCGAAAAUCUCUAUCUUUCAACUGAUUUGUCUGCAAUCUCCUCGGAACCCUUGCUGUUAGCCGUUCUCUUUCGAAACCCUAAUUUGCUCAACCAUUGCCUGAUCUUUUGAAUCUCUCUCGAUUUGUCGACAGUUCCAUAAAUCGAAAAUAAUAAAAAUUGUUAGAAAAAUUUUUAAAUUUGGUUCUUAGCUAUAUUUUGUUUUUUGUUUUUUAAAUUUUGUUGAUAUUCAAGAUACUGUGCACUAAAUUGCAGUUUAGCCAACGGAUUUAGAUUUUUGCCCCGUGUUUUUGACUUUUGCAUCAAUUGCGAACCGUUUAAUUGGUCUUGGUGUUAGUGAGAAAUGGUUGGGGGAGGCAGGAGAGAUGAGGGAUCGCUGGUGAUCAAUAACACUAACGUGUUUGCAGCCCUUGAGACUUUGAGGAAGAAGAAGAAGUCUGACAAGGAGCGUGGGACAUCAAAGAGCGGCAAAGGGUCUUCCAAAUCUCAGCAACCUGAACAGCAAAAUAAGGAACCUGAGCCUGAAGUUUUCUGGGCCCCUGCCCCGCUUAAUGCCAAAUCAUGGGCUGAUGUAGAGGAUGAGGAUGAUGACGAUUACUUUGCAACCACUGCUCCACCUCAAGCUGUAUGGGGUUCCUCGGAGCCACAUCAGAGUGAUGAUAAGCCCACCAACAUUGAGGUGAGUAGCUGAAUUUGUCUGAUAUAAUCGUGUAUGUGUUCAUAAUGGUGCCUAGGACGAUGAUUCAUGGUGCUUGUUGACUUGGUUAUGUUUGGAAAUUGCCAAACGUGACCUGUAUCUCACAUAGAGGAUUGUGGUAUUUACCAUAUUAACUGGUUAUUUAAAAAAAAAUUGGCUGGAGAAUGGUUAUUGUGUUUGUUAACUCAGCUUGAUGUGCAAUAUUUGUAUGUGAUUAUGAUGAUUUAGAACAUGACUUUAUGUGAUUACCUUUAUACUCUGAAAGAUUUGAUGGCAUGGGAGGGUAAAUUAGGAUGGAGCAUGAUGCUAAAUACCUUUUAGGUUUGCUUAUAGUGUGUCUUAGCAAUCAGUUUGUAUUUUAUUGCUUUACUUCUUCGCCUCAAAGGGCUUAAAUAAGCUGUAAAGAUGUAACUAAAAGGUCCAGAGUUCAUCAUGUUGUUUGAUGUGGGCAAAUGGUUGGUGGCUAUAUUACUGGUGAUGAUGCUGAGGUGGAUGAGGUAGAAAAGCAUGGGUUAUGGGUUGGUUUCGAAGUUUGCAUUCUCUGUAACUGAUUACAGUAGUAGGUUACUAUAUACAUCCUAUCCCCUCUCUUCUUCUUCUAUUCUUUUGUGGCCUUUUGGUUGGGGGCUGAGAUGGAUGAGGCUGUUGGAGUUUGAAGCCAUUCAUUGACAACAAACGGUAGUGUUGCUAUGAAUUAUGAGAUAGUGAUGUUGAUAGCUUCCUGAAGAGAUGUAAAUGCAGAAAUGUUAGGAGUGAUUCAGGACUGAAGGGAUAUAAAUGUUGAAGUGUUAGCAACAAUAUGUAUAAAAACAGGCAUGUAAAUACCAUUAGUUUUCUGUUAAAUUUGUGCUGCUUAUGAUGCUAUUGGUUUUCCCUGUUAAAUUUAUGCUAUUAUAAUGCUUACUGUUUGUGUAAUUACUAAUUUUAGAACAUAUUGAGGGAAGAUGUUUUUAUUUAGAGGAGAUGUUUAUGUUUUUACAUCAAUUUUUGUUCAGUCUUCUUUUUUAUGUGGUUGUAAUUAAUCCAAUUAUCCGUUAAACUUUUUAUAAUGGAAUUGCUACUGCAUCUAGAUCUCAUUAUUGCCUUUAUCAAGGAAUGUGAAACAUUAUCAUGGAUGCUGAGUCUCCAUGUCAUUAGGGCACCCUGUGGUAUUUUUUUGCAGCGUUUGAUGCACUCAUGUUCAUCCUCGCCUAGUUUGGGAAUGAGUUUGAAGUACUAAUGCUUCUUGCCAUUUGGCUCAUGGUCUGGAAGCUGCUAUAUUUGUAUGCUUAAUUUAACAAGGCAUUGUUCAGGUUUGUUCAGGUGGGACAACUUUGUUCAGGUUUCCAAGUCAAGAGAAAUUUACUAGGCGUUCAGGGCUGUCAUUUAGUAGUUUCUUAUUUGCUGUGAACCCUAAGAGUGUGCGUUCAAUGUGAAUUGAAUUCCUGAAUUAUAUCUUACAUAAUUAUUAGGAUUUAAGGUGAUUUGGAAAAUCCAGACCAAGACAGUUUAUCUGGUACUGAACAGUUACAUGCAGCAUCUCUCUUUUUGGUCCCUGGGAUUAUGGCUAAAAUCAUCUAAAGAGCUGAUUGAAUUUCUCCAAUAUUUGUUAACGUUCUCUUACCAUUUAGCUAUCUGCUUAAUUACAGGAAAGCGAGAGUGAGGAAGAUAUUUUAGAUGAAGGUGAUGAUGAAGUGGAUGAAGAGCAUGACCAUGAACCAGAGGUUCCAAUGCAUUCUGAGCCAGUGGUGAAGAAGCUUCCUGAAGUUAUGGCAGUGCCUAAGGAGACAGAAAGGCAACUUUCAAAGAAGGAAAGGAAGAAGAAGGAACUUGAAGAGCUAGAGGCCCUUUUGGCUGAUUUUGGAGUUAGCCAGAAGGAUAGCAAUGGCCCAGAUCAGUCGCGUGGUAUUUUCGUUCAUACGAUAAAAAUUUCUGUUUUUAUUCAUAGCUCAUUAUAGUUGGCUUAUUCGUGGAAAAGCUUGCAUGCAUAAAAUUAUCAUGUUUUAGAUAAGUCAAAUAUUACUUCUUUUUUUUUUGAUAAGCAUGUCAAAUAUUACUUAUAUGUCGAAGUUCUUAAUUUUGCAAUUUGAUAAUAAGCUAUGCAUAUGAGUAGCCCUUUAUUUGUGCAUUUGGCAGAGCACAUAAAUAUCCAUAGGCACAUAAGAACAUGUUUGACUGAAUUCUGGCAUCAGAUUGUUUUAAGAAUUCAGUUAUUCCAUUUUUCUUAAUAAUUUUAUUGGGAUAAAGCUGUCUGUUUAUUGUUCACUGUUUUUUCCUGAGCCCAGUGGAAACAAAUCAAUCGCUUUAUAUAUUGGCUUUACUGUUGAAUAUUUUCUAAUUUAGGGAUUCUUUUGAAAUGGAUUGAUAGAUGCUGCUCAAGAAAGAAAAGAUGCAGAGCACAAUGCAGAGGGCGAAAAGAAGGAAAGUGCCUCUGGAGAGUCCAAAACUGCCAAGAAGAAGAAAAAGAAGGAUAAAUCAAAGGAGGUGAAAGAACCCCAGGAUCAGUUGAACAGUACUGAAGCCAACAAUGGGGCAGAAGAAGCUCUUGGAACUGAACAGGUAGAAGAUUCUUCUGCCGUUGAUGUGAAGGAGCGGCUAAAGAGAAUGACAUCUGCUAAGAAGAAAAAAUCUAGUAAAGAGAUGGAUAAUGCUGCAAAAGCUGCUGCUCAAGAGGCUGCUGCAAGAAGUGCAAAGCUUGCUGCAGCCAAGAAGAAAGAGAAGAACCAUUACAACCAACAGCCAGUGCGGUAAAUAGCCCCCUUUUGUUUCACCACAUAUAUGAACAUGUAUUUCUCGCUGUUCAUAUGACAAUGUGAAAUAAAUAGCACACCUGGUCUCUGGCUUCGAAAAAGAUGACUUUCUGAUGUACUGCCAUGGACUAAAGAAAGUUUCCCCUUCGGCGUUUUGGAUCUUUAUUGUUGCUUGGUUGUCAUGGAGAACAUAGGUUUGGCAGUUUUGUUAAUUGAAAAUUCUUCUUUGGACAGUGAUUGGACUUGAGUUUUUGUGUAUUGUAGUUUUUUCAACAUCAUGUUCUCUUAUUUAGCACCAUUGAUGGUUGAACCUCAUAUUGGAGGGUUUGCAGUUCAUUUCAAUAUUUUCAUUCAACAGGUUUGCAUCGGGAGCUCAUUGAAUCUUUGCCUGUGAUUGGGUGUUGAGUGUUGCUAAUUCUUGCAUUUAGCUAAUGAAUAUCAUGACACACCCUAAAGGAAAAUGAAAUGAUCAAUUUGGC